rnacentral:rRNA from 1 species
AUUGAACGCUGGCGGCAUGCUUUGCACAUGCAAGUCGAACGGCAGCGCGGGCUUCGGCCUGGCGGCGAGUGGCGAACGGGUGAGUAAUGCAUCGGAACGUGCCCAGUAGUGGGGGAUAGCCCGGCGAAAGCCGGAUUAAUACCGCAUACGACCUGAGGGUGAAAGCGGGGGACCGAAAGGCCUCGCGCUAUUGGGGCGGCCGAUGUCGGAUUAGCUAGUUGGUGGGGUAAAGGCUUACCAAGGCGACGAUCCGUAGCUGGUCUGAGAGGACGACCAGCCACACUGGGACUGAGACACGGCCCAGACUCCUACGGGAGGCAGCAGUGGGGAAUUUUGGACAAUGGGGGCAACCCUGAUCCAGCCAUGCCGCGUGCGGGAAGAAGGCCUUCGGGUUGUAAACCGCUUUUGUUCGGGAAGAAAUCCUCUGGGCUAAUACCCCGGGGGGAUGACGGUACCGGAAGAAUAAGCACCGGCUAACUACGUG